rnacentral:lncRNA from 1 species
CAUCUGCGAGCAGGUCCGGGAGUGAUGUGAAGUCCUUGGCUCAUGACUUCGAGGAUGUCAUACUUAAGAAAUCAACGACUUGCAAGUUCUGCAACACCAGGAUCUGGCUCAACAGAGGAAUGCGUUGCAAGGUCUGCAGAAUGAUCAUCCACAGCAGGUGCCAAGAAAGGACCAUGCUGAUGACCUUAUGCAAGCAGAAAAUGUGGCCGGAGGAAGAGGCAGAGCCCGUCGGUGG